rnacentral:rRNA from 1 species
UACGGAGGGUGCGAGCGUUGUCCGGAAUCACUGGGCGUAAAGGGCGCGUAGGUGGCGCGAGGAGUCUGUGGUGAAAGCCCGAGGCUCAACUUCGGGUCGGCCGCGGAUACUCUCGUGCUGGAGGGUGGUAGAGGCCAAUGGAAUUCCGGGUGUAGCGGUGGAAUGCGUAGAGAUCCGGAAGAACACCCGUGGCGAAGGCGGCUCUCUGGAACGCAACUGACGCUGAGACGCGAAAGCGUGGGGAGCAAACAGGG